rnacentral:rRNA from 1 species
CCCUUAGAUGUUCUGGGCCGCACGCGUGCUACACUGAGUAAAUCAAUGGGUAAGGGAACACGAAAGUACAACCUAAUCUUCAAAUUUGCUCGUGAUGGGGAUCGACGGUUGCAAUUUUCCGUCGUGAACGAGGAAUACCUUGUAGGCGCGUGUCAUCAUCACGCGCCGAAUACGUCCCUGCCCUUUGUACACACCGCCCGUCGCUCCUACCGAUUGAGUGAUCCGGUGAGGCUCUGGGACCUGGACGGAAAGAGCGUUUCGCUUGUUCUGUUUGGGAAACUUGGUCGAACCUUAUCAUUUAGAGGAAGGAGAAGUCGUAACA